rnacentral:tRNA from 2 species
AGCGGGAUAGAGCAGUCUGGUAGCUCAUUAGGCUCGUAGUCUGAAGGCAGUGGUUCAAAUCCACUUCCUGCUU